AUCCAGCUGACGAGUCCCAAACACGACGAAACGCGAGUCCUGGAU
rfam:Schistosoma margrebowiei strain Zambia genome assembly, scaffold: SMRZ_contig0003165